rnacentral:rRNA from 1 species
AGCAGCCGCGGUAAUUCCAGCUCCAAUAGCGUAUAUUAAAGUUGUUGCAGUUAAAAAGCUCGUAGUUGAAUUUCGGAAUCAAUAUGUCGGUCGUGCCUUCGGUACGUACUGGUAUCAUUGGUUUCUCCUUUCUGACGAACUAUGAUGUCAUUAAUUUGGUGUUAUGGGGAGUUAGAACUGUUACUUUGAAAAAAUUAGAGUGUUUAAAGCAGGCUUUAGCUUGAAUACAUUCGCAUGGAAUAAUGAAAUAGGGCAUUCGAACCUAUUUUGUUGGUUUCUAGGAUCAACGUAAUGAUUAAUAGGGAUAGUUGGGGGCAUUAGUAUUCAAUUGUCAGAGGUGAAAUUCUUGGAUUUAUUGAAGACUAACUACUGCGAAAGCAUUUGCCAAGGAUGUUUUCAUUAAUCAAGAACGAAAGUUAGGGGAUCGAAGACGAUCAGAUACCGUCGUAGUCUUAACCAUAAACUAUGCCGACUAGGGAUCGGAUGAUGUUAAUUUUUUAAUGACUCAUU